AUCUGAGGAUAGGAUGCUAUGGCCUUUGUGUGUGUAUAUUUAGAUACAAUUCUUGUUUACUCUACAAUGUUGACAACAUAUAUGUGUACUUUUAUGUAUAUCCUUUUACAAAUAUGUAUUUUUUUAAAAAAACUGAAAACACAUGGUAUUUAUCAAAUAAAACCUCAACUUUGUUACUUACACGAUUAGGAAACUUAAAAAUGUGCUAAACAGAAGCAUCAAGGUCUGUUUUCAUUUUUUCUGUUUUCUCAAGAUGAUAAGAUCUUUUUUUUCUUCUCUGCUUUUGGUUUUUUACAUUUUUUUUAUAGUUUCUUCAAUCUAGUUUGCAAUUAGCAAAAGUUUUUUAAGGCAAAAAUUUGCAGAGUUGGGAGUGAGACAGCUCAGGGGUAAAGGUGCUUGCUGCCACUGUGAGCCUCUGAGUUCCAUCCACACAGUGCGACACGUGGACCACCUCACUCUAUCUGUCCUCUGAGCUCCACAACUAUGCCACCGCCAGGAUCCCCCUCCUUCCACAAAUCAGAGUAGUUAAAAAGCAAAUCCUGGAGAAAGUUAUAUUAAAAUUAAAUUAAUAUUAAAAUUGGCCUCCUAAGUCAAUGCCAAAUUGACAGUACAUUUUGACAAAAUGAGAAUGAAUUGGAUGUCUAAUAUUUACUAAUAAGAAAAUGUGUAUUAAUAAUGUAUUUUAGAAAUCAAUGUCCUUAAGACUUUUUCAUUGAAAACUUCAGGUCUUUUAAAUACCUGAGUUUGAGAAAAAUGUAAUAGGAACAAUACAAUCUACUCUUGUUCUUUCUCGAUGUAAACAGAUUAUUCCGUUCUUAAAAGCACUCGCUGUUCUUGGAGAACGCCCAGCUUCAGCUCCUAGCACCUACAUCAUGUCGCACAGUCAUCCAUAACUCCUGUUUCAGGGCAUCUGACACCCUCUUCUGAGCUCUGUAAGCAACGGGAACCCAUAUGGUACAUAUUCAUACAUGUAGGCAAAACAUGCACACACAUGAAAUACAUAUUUUUAAUUUCAUUCGACACACAUUCUUAAAAUAAAAUGAAAAUACUCCAGCUUCUGAGGGAAAGAAAUUUCCAGCCUUUCAACAUAAAAGGCAUAUCUCUUUAACAACCAUUUUUUCUGGACAACUAUUUUGAGCUAGGCAAUUCUCUUCUCUGGACCAUAAACUACAUUGCUAUUCAAAUAAAUAGAAUUAUCAGCCCUGUAGGCACUUCUUUUAUUUACUCAUAAGGCCAGGAUGGUUUAAAAAUAAACACUAUAAUACACUGGACUUUACUGUGAUAAAGGGCAGAAAUUGCCGUUCGAGGGGCUGCAUAAACUUCAUUAUAACCUUGCUGCAACGCUCCAAAGCAAUUCUGCAAAGAAAGCAGAUACUGAGGCUUAUCCUUUGUAGAGAAGUUUGUAACCUAAAAAUACAUUUAUAUGUUUUAUUCCCCAGCGAGAGACUGGGAUAAUUCUGACAUCUGUGCUAUCAACAGUCCUCAGGGUCUGAAUUACUGUCCUCAUUUUAAAGCCUCCACAAAAUUCAGCCUUAUGGUAGAGGGCUGGGCUCAUCUCAUGUAAGUGAUGGAGCACAACUAGAACCCAGGCAGGUGAGUCCCAGGCAGCAGUUUCUUCCCAUGAUGGCUUGCGGGGGAAAAAAAGAGAGACUCAUGGGUCAUCUAGCAUGUUUUCUCAAAUGCUGGUCCCUCUGUGUUCCAUGUCCCUCCCAACUAUAAAGGGGAAUAAAAAUUAUGUGUCUCAUUUUCUGAAAAUACAAGAAGAUAAUGCCCACAAAGCUUCAGGGAGCCUUGCCGUGUUCUCCAAAACAUAAUUUUCUAAUUUUCAUUUGUUUCAUUGUUUUCUUGUUGCUAACUUGGGGUUUCACCUAGACCAGGCUGGCCUCAAGCUUGUUGUGAAACUGAAAAUGAACUUGCCCCACCCCCACCCCCAUGCUUCUGUCCUCACCUGCUAUGUACUGGGAUGAGAGGCAUGUAACACCACGCCUUACUCACCCAGUGCUUGGGGUGGAGCUCAGGGCUCUGUGCACACUAAGCAAGUACUCUCUCAACUGAGUUCUAUUCCCAUCCCCACUCUCCAAGUUUGUCUUAUUCAUUCUAUGUAUAUGUUUGUCUGUAUGUUUAGCUGUGGUCCCGAGACACAUGGGAGGAAGUCACAGGAUAACUCGUGGGAAUCAGUUUACUCUUCCCACUACGUUCAUUGCACUCAAGUCUUUACAUGCAGAAUUCUCCCGCUGCCCCAAGUAUCUAAUUGUUAAAAAGCAUAGCUAGAUUUUGAUUCCAACUUAAUCCAAACCAGUCUUCACUACAGCAUAGGAACAGGGUUUUUCUGAGCUACAAUUCUUUUAG
rnacentral:lncRNA from 1 species